GAACUGGUGAGUUAAAGUGUAAGCUGCUGCAUGGGUACGUUCUGCCUCCUUUUCUGCCGGAGUGUUUUCCAGCGUUUAUUCAUAUUUGUGACUAAGGAGGAGAUGGAAACCUGAGGUUAAAAAUGGAGAUUUUUAUUUUGUUGAGGAAGCAAAGAUGACUUGCCACAUCAAUUUGGUGCCUAAAUCCGUAACUGCAAGUUACAAUUAAUAAUGAAAUGUGUAAGAGAGAUAAUAUUGGUGAAUAUUUUUUUUUCUUGUUCAGUCUAUUUAGUUUUGUUUCAUAAACAUGACUUCUUCCCUCCAAAAAGCAAAAGGGUCUUGUAAUUUUCUAUAGAAUAAACAAAUGUGCCAUUUUAUCUGAAAUC
rnacentral:lncRNA from 1 species